AUACGGAGGAUGCAAGCGUUAAUCGGAAUUACUGGGCGUAAAGCGUACGUAGGCGGUUAUUUAAGUCAGAUGUGAAAGCCCCGGGCUUAACUUGGGAACUGCAUUUGAAACUGGGUAACUAGAGUUUAGUAGAGGGGAGUGGAAUUUCAGGUGUAGCGGUGAAAUGCGUAGAGAGCUGAAGGAACACCAGUGGCGAAGGCGACUCCCUGGACUAAAACUGACGCUGAGGUACGAAAGCGUGGGUAGCAAACAGGAUUAGAAACCCCAGUAGUCC
rnacentral:rRNA from 1 species